UGAAAGGGAAAUCGUGCCAAAAGUUGCAUCUGUGCCUUUUGAAAGAUGGUGAUAAAAAAGCAAAAGAAAUUUCUUCAUUUUCAAGAUAGCUUCACAAAGAAACCAACCAGAUAUGGAAACACCCUUCAUCACCAGUGGCUCUCGCAUGCGAUGUCCUUGGAUGCCCAAAAGAUUAGUCAGUCUGAACCACCUGGCUCAUGUAACAGGGAUCAAAGACAUUUCUCCAUCUACAAACUUAAGCUCAUGCUCUCUGAAAGUGAAGACGACAAAUUGAAAGUUAUGGUCUAAGAAAAUUAAUAGGGACAUGUGACUCUUGAGGGGUCAAAAUUGUGGACCAGUCCUCUCAUGUGGCAAUGCACUAUAAGCAACAAAAAAGGUUCUUCUACACUGGUAUUUUUCACAGUUCAGCUUCAGUCAUCAGCCUGCGCCAUAGGACCAUUAUUGACCACUACAGCUGCAUCACUUGCACCAUGGCACUUUUUGACAUCCAGGAGAACUCAAUACUUCUGCUGUAAAGAAUGUGGAUAUGAAGACCAGCCUGUAUGUUUGUGUUCUUGAAUGUCUUCUACUUGAAGAAAAAGCUAUGUGCUAUUGGAUAGGGUCAUUUAAAGCAUCAGAAGCAAAAAAACCCAAACAUCAGGAAGUGGGAGAAAGACAUGCUUCUUGAACAUUACUCAUUUGAAUCAUGGAGCUGUAUAGAAGCAGAUAUUGUAUGAUGCAGUUGAUGUGUGACAGAGUACCAAACAGACAUUCUUCAAGAAGUCAGUUCUAUCUUCCCUAAGUCAUCAGUAUUCCCUUAGUAGGCCAUAUUUUUUAGGAAAUCACUCAGCAUGUGUAUGAGCUCUCUCAGUCCUAAAUUCUUCCAAGCUGCAUAUUUCUUCUGGCGUAAAAAUUUGAGACAGUGUAUCCCAUGAGUUGCUGUGAAGGCAUUGAAGCCACAUUCCUCAUUUUUAAGGGGCUGGUAUGGUGGCAUACAGGAAUCUAAUGUUCCGUGCUAUUUAUGAUUUUCUGCUUUAUUGUAGAAAUAAUUCUGUUUGUAGUUUUUAUAAACUUCAAGUCUUGAAUGCGCAGUACUGCCGGUCACAAUUUUGUUUGUCGGCUGUUCCAUCUUAAAUGAAGAAAUAUUAUAUGUUGUUAACACCCUGAUCUCCAAGGGUUUGUGAAAAAAAAUA